rnacentral:rRNA from 1 species
UACGAAGGGGGCUAGCGUUGCUCGGAAUCACUGGGCGUAAAGGGUGCGUAGGCGGGAUCUUAAGUCAGAGGUGAAAGCCUGGAGCUCAACUCCAGAACUGCCUUUGAUACUGAAGAUCUUGAGUUCGGGAGAGGUGAGUGGAACUGCGAGUGUAGAGGUGAAAUUCGUAGAUAUUCGCAAGAACACCAGUGGCGAAGGCGGACUCACUGGCCCGAUACUGACGCUGAGGCACGAAAGCGUGGG